GACGUAGGGCGCGAGCGUUGUCCGGAUUUAUUGGGCGUAAAGCGCGUGUAGGCGGCUCGGUAAGUCUGCUCUGAAAGUCCAAGGCUCAACCUUGGGAUGCGGGUGGAUACUGCCGGGCUCGAGUCCGGAAGAGGCGAGUGGAAUUCCUGGUGUAGCGGUGAAAUGCGCAGAUAUCAGGAGGAACACCAAUGGCGAAGGCAGCUCGCUGGGACGUGACUGACGCUGAGACGCGAAAGCGUGGGGAGCAAACAGG
rnacentral:rRNA from 1 species